rnacentral:rRNA from 1 species
AGCGAACGCUGGCGGCAGGCUUAACACAUGCAAGUCGAACGGGCAUCUUCGGAUGUCAGCGGCAGACGGGUGAGUAACACGUGGGAACGUACCCUUCGGUUCGGAACAACUCUGGGAAACUGGAGCUAAUACCGGAUACGCCCUUAUGGGGAAAGGUUUACUGCCGAAGGAUCGGCCCGCGUCUGAUUAGCUAGUUGGUGGGGUAACGGCCUACCAAGGCGACGAUCAGUAGCUGGUCUGAGAGGAUGAUCAGCCACACUGGGACUGAGACACGGCCCAGACUCCUACGGGAGGCAGCAGUGGGGAAUAUUGGACAAUGGGCGCAAGCCUGAUCCAGCCAUGCCGCGUGAAUGAUGAAGGCCUUAGGGUUGUAAAGCUCUUUUGUCCGGGACGAUAAUGACGGUACCGGAAGAAUAAGCCCCGGCUAACUUCGUG